ACAUUCCAUGAACUCUAUUGGAAAAUCCUGCCCAAGAAACUUACCAAUCAUGGCCGCUUGACAUUUCUUUGGCAUCCUCUGCAGUUCAUCUUGAGAGAAAACCAUCAAAUCAUUGAACCGUGCCUCCAACAUAGAAAUAUCAUCUUUUGAAGGUCUAGGCAUCUCCCAUUGGAAGUGACGACACCUUUGUACUAUCUGUGCCCAU
rnacentral:lncRNA from 1 species